AGUCGACUCAGCCUGCGACGGUCGCACAGCAUUUUGCGCUGUGAAACGCUGCUUCAUACAAUGUCUGCCGGGGAAUUGUGUUAUUUAUUAAACUAUUGGGAGUCUAUACAGAGAUUUCCUAUCUAUUCAUAUACAAUAAUAAACUAUUAUAUUGCAUCGGAGAAUACAGGAAUAGCACAAUAAAAAGAUAUCGGAAGGAGAGGGAUGUUUCCCAAGAUGGCUG